rfam:Triticum urartu cultivar G1812 contig829927, whole genome shotgun sequence.
CAAAUACUCCCUCCGUUCGGAAUUACUCGUCCAAGAAAUGAAUAUAUCUAGAUGUAUUUUAGUUGUAAAUACAUUCAUUUUUGUGACAAGUAAUUCCGAACGAAGGGAGUACUUG